UUCGCUGCUCUUUUAUUUUAACUAGUAACAAAAAUGUGGGAGAGACCACAUAAAUAGAUUUUACUUCUACACUUUUAAGUAAGAGUGUGAAACACAAUCUUUUGUUGGGUUAUUCUCAAGUUGUUGAAGAGUUGGAGAAUAGGCACAAUAUGAUUUUCUUCGGAUACUAGUUUGUAUCACCACCCACCAAAGCUUCCAAUUUAUUAUCAUUAGUAAGUGAAGUUAAGAUGUAAUACUUGCAUGUUGUCAAGUGUAGCUUCAUAGGCUAUCAAAGCUUGUGACUUCAGAGUUGUUGUAAAUGUUGGAGUAAAAUGCCUAGGUUUUUUAAUAACACAAAAUUAACUUCAUUCAACCCAUACCCUUGGGAGUCCAAAUAGUUUGUUGAAACUACGAUGUUUGACCUUCUAGUAUAGUUGAAGGAAAUGUCUAAUAAUGCUCCAUACAGUCAAGCAUGGUUAUCUGAAUACAAAUUGAUUUUUUAUUAUUUUUUUAAAGAGAAUGUUUGUGGUCUAUCAUGCUAUGUGACGGCUUUCAUUAGGAAUGGUAACCUCAAUUCAAAAUUCAAACAAAGGACUAAUUUUUCAUACAUGCUGGGAAAUUGCAUGAACUAAUUUUUCAUAUAGCACAUAUUUAAAGACUUGCCUGUGAUGACCUGUACUUCAUUGGGAAAUAUUGCACAACCUAAAUCUGAAAUCAACACAACAUGGAGUCAUCUACAUAGCUCAAAUUAAAAAUCUACACUUAUAAAAACAACAUGCAGUCAUCUACAAAGGUUUCAGAGCUUACCUAAGAUGUUGUGGUGGAAGUGGAGGGGAAGGGCAUGUGGUCAGAUUGAAGUAAUGGUCACGGUGAAGAGGAAGGUGACGGUGAACCCGCGCCUUUCCUUCGACUCACAGCUUCAAUGGGAUUGAGUUAAUUGUUCGCUCGGAUUUAAUGAGAUGGUUCGUUGGUUCAUAUUCAAUGACAGAAAACAGAAAGAUUAUGAUUAUAAGUAUCUACAACAAAAAAUUAAGGGUAAAUUGUAUAAAAUUGCCUCAACUAUUAGGUCAUUAACAAUUUCAUACAUCGUCUUUAAAAAGUUUCAAUGUCAUACCUUAUCUUCGAAUUUGUUGUAAUGUCAUACAUUCCGUUAGUUGUUCGUUAAUUCCUCUGUUAAAUGCUGACGUGGUUUGAGGCGGGACCCACUUUUUAUUAAAAAAAUUAAUUAAAU
rnacentral:lncRNA from 1 species